rnacentral:misc_RNA from 1 species
UUUAUUUGUUAUAUGUUUUUUACAUUCAUCAACUUGCGUUUAAAAAAAAAGGAUAAAGGUUUUACAUCAGGCUUAACUGAAGAAGCCGAUGACAGUUCACAGGGUUAAAAAGUGGAAGACGGCUCCUCCAUGUAGAGACAGCCAAAAUUCACUAAUGAUCCUUCCGCAGGUUCACCUACGGAAA